UGUUGUAUUUAAGAAUGAACCUACUCGAGUCUCGGGUGCUAAAGUGGUUGUCUCUUGGAAUCUCAGAAAAAUCAAAUUUGGGUUAAAACACUUGACUUGUGCAGAAUAAAGGGCAAGAUUACUUUCAAAUCAAUAUAUUGAGAAGUCCAUUCUCUUAUUCUGAGGAUUCUACUUGAUUACAGUUCAAGAUUGAAUGUUUCUUUGAACUGGUGAAUGAGGAGAGACAUAUUUGAAAGCUAUGAAUUCAUUUACUUAUGGAGUAAACUGGCCUACUGACCUGAAUCAUAUUGAUGGAAAGAAAGUGAAGGGACUUGAAGGGAUAUAAGUCAUUAUUGGAAUAAUAUAACCAACUUCUUGGUGAUUUAAUAAAGGAUAAUCGUGGAAUAUUUCCUUGGGUCUGAGAUGGGCACUUUAUUCAUCUUUAGAGAGGUAAUUAAAUGUCUUUGAAUUUAUAUUUAUGUAGUACAUAAAAAAAUGAAAAAUAAAAGCUCUGAAUUACAUUUAGUGAUGACUUAGAUGACGAGACUGAGAUUUUUGGUGGAGUAGUCUAUAUAUUGACGUUCUGUCGAUUUAGAUGAUGCCAUCAAAAUCGCUUGUUUG
rnacentral:lncRNA from 1 species